GGCGUGCUUAACACAUGCAAGUCGAACGCUUAGGCCCUGCUUUUGUGGGGUGCUCGAGUGGCGAACGGGUGAGUAACACGUGAGUAACCUGCCCUUGACUUUGGGAUAACUUCAGGAAACUGGGGCUAAUACCGGAUAGGAGCUCCUGCUGCAUGGUGGGGGUUGGAAAGUUUCGGCGGUUGGGGAUGGACUCGCGGCUUAUCAGCUUGUUGGUGGGGUAGUGGCUUACCAAGGCUUUGACGGGUAGCCGGCCUGAGAGGGUGACCGGCCACAUUGGGACUGAGAUACGGCCCAGACUCCUACGGGAGGCAGCAGUGGGGAAUAUUGCACAAUGGGCGGAAGCCUGAUGCAGCAACGCCGCGUGCGGGAUGACGGCCUUCGGGUUGUAAACCGCUUUCGCCUGUGACGAAGCGUGAGUGACGGUAAUGGGUAAAGAAGCACCGGCUAACUACGUGCCAGCAGCCGCGGUGAUACGUAGGGUGCGAGCGUUGUCCGGAUUUAUUGGGCGUAAAGGGCUCGUAGGUGGUUGAUCGCGUCGGAAGUGUAAUCUUGGGGCUUAACCCUGAGCGUGCUUUCGAUACGGGUUGACUUGAGGAAGGUAGGGGAGAAUGGAAUUCCUGGUGGAGCGGUGGAAUGCGCAGAUAUCAGGAGGAACACCAGUGGCGAAGGCGGUUCUCUGGGCCUUUCCUGACGCUGAGGAGCGAAAGCGUGGGGAGCGAACAGGCUUAGAUACCCUGGUAGUCCACGCUGUAAACGGUGGGUACUAGGUGUGGGGUCCAUUCCACGGGUUCCGUGCCGUAGCUAACGCUUUAAGUACCCCGCCCUGGGGAGUACGGCCGCAAGGCUAAAACUCAAAGGAAUUGACGGGGCCCCGCACAAGCGGCGGAGCAUGCGGAUUAAUUCGAUGCAACGCGUAGAACCUUACCUGGGUUUGACAUGGAUCGGGAGUGCUCAGAGAUGGGUGUGCCUCUUUUGGGGUCGGUUCACAGGUGGUGCAUGCCUGUCGUCAGCUCGUGUCGUGAGAUGUUGGGUUAAGUCCCGCAACGAGCGCAACCCUUGUUCACUGUUGCCAGCACGUUAUGGUGGGGACUCAGUGGAGACCGCCGGGGUCAACUCGGAGGAAGGUGGGGAUGACGUCAAGUCCUCAUGCCCCUUAUGUCCAGGGCUUCACGCAUGCUACAAUGGCUGGUACAGAGAGUGGCGAGCCUGUGAGGGUGAGCGAAUCUCGGAAAGCCGGUCUCAGUUCGGAUUGGGGUCUGCAACUCGACCUCAUGAAGUCGGAGUCGCUAGUAAUCGCAGAUCAGCAACGCUGCGGUGAAUACGUUCCCGGGGCUUGUACACACCGCCCGUCAAGUCAUGAAAGUUGGUAACACCCGAAGCCGGUGGCCUAACCGUUGUGGGGGAGCCGUCGAAGGUGGGACUG
rnacentral:rRNA from 1 species